rnacentral:tRNA from 1 species
UGGGGUGUAGCUCAGUGGUGGAGUGCAUGCUUAGCAUGCAUGGGCCCUGGGUUCCAUUCCCAGAACCCAAA